GGCAUUGAAAAUGGCACAACUAGUCUUAUGCCGCUCAACAUCAUCAGGAGUACCAAAGGAAUCUCACAACACUUGAAGUAUUUCCUCUGACUGAGCUUCUUCAAACUUCUGGCUAAACUUAUCGUUCAUGGAGGCCCACAUGAUGCAAUGAACCAUGGUGCGAUCAUUGAGCCACUUCAAAUAAGUAUCUCGGACCACUCC
rnacentral:lncRNA from 1 species